AAACAUUUAAAUCUCAUUCACUUUUCGACGAUGGUGUUUACUACAAGUGGAAGGUCGCAACGACCUAUUUCUGGGACGUGUUUGAAUUAAAAGUAUGGGGAAGAAUGUGGAUAGUUUUGGUGGAAAUCGUCGAAAGUGAUGUUCUAUCUUUGACUUUGUUAGACCUGAAAUCGCAUUAUUCGGUUAUGCAGCUUUUGUGAAAAAAAGUGAAAUCUCCCCUGCCGCCUCUGUAAACUAGUUGGGUGGGUUUUUCCAAAAUGGCAUCUAUUAGGAAUAUUAUACUUUCCAUUUUUCUGUUGGUUACCACGUCAGUGUUACCUGGAAACGCUUUUAAUUACUAUUACAUCACCGAAAUUAAGCGGGGAGAGAAUUACGUCGAUAAUGCUGCCUGCCAACAUGUGAUUUCCUUUACAACUAUUUUACUUAUUGUUUUGAUGUACCUACUUAGAUAAUAAUAUAGCUAUAGUAUUAUUUUAAUGAUUUAAUUUUAAGAAAUUAUUUCACAUUUUAGUAUAUGUAUAAUAAUCAAGCAAUUAUACCAGUAUGUACCUUAUAUUUUUUUGUUAAUUAAUUAACAUUGUGCAAAACGAAUAUGUAGUUUUAUGUUUUGUGUAUACGUACCUUUGGUUAACUGUUAAAGUGAAAAAUUGAAAACAUUGGGAUUCUUUUAGAAUAAGUGUGAAUGUGAAGUCCUAAAGACGUUUCAAUUUUGAUAAUAUAUAAAUUGUAAAAAUGUA